rnacentral:tRNA from 10 species
UUGUCAAUUAUAUUGACAAGGUUUGGGUGUGUAUGUCAUAUUUAAAUUAUAAGGGAAACAGUGAUUAUAUAUUUGUCUUAAAUUAUAGUACUUAGGAAACAGAGUGAAGAAAAAGGAAAAAAAAAAAAAAAACCUAAGUGGCAGGGACCCUCUGUUUUUGAAAACAUAUUUGUAUAUUCAAUAUGCCAAAAUAUCUAAUAUUAAAGUGAUAUACUAAUAAAUAUAUUUGGCAUAUUAUUAUGGUACUUUCAGUUCUCAAACUUUUAAAGUAAAAAUAUUGAUCAAGAUUAAUGUUCCCAAUGCAAAGAAAUAAUAAAUGUUUGAGGUGAUGGACAUCCCAAUUACCCUGAUUUGAUCAUUAUAUAUUAUAUGCUUGUAUCAAAACAUCACAUGUACCCCAUAAAUAUGUACAACAACUAUGUACCUAUAAAUAUUGAAAAUAAAUAAUUUUUUAAAAAGAAAAUUCUGAAUUUGAGAUUUUAAAAUCAAAUUCAAGGUAUAAUACUGGUCAAAAAUUGUGAACCAAAUAUGUUAUUUUAGUUUUUUUAUUGCUGUGGUAACAAAUUAAAACAAACUUAGCCACUUAAAAUAACACCCAUUUAUUAUCUUCCAGUUUUUAUGAUUCCAAAGUGUUGGCUCAGCAUGGCUCUACUGAAUUCUCUGCUUAGGGCCCACGAGGCUGAAAUCAAGUUGUCACCUAGGCUUUGUGUUUUACUAGAGGCUAGAGGAAAGAAUUGGCUUUAAUGCUUAUUGAACUUGGAGGCAGAAUUCAUAUUCUUCUCACGUUUUCAAGACAGCCAAUGGGCAAAAGUACUCAUACUUCAAAUCUCUUUGUUCUCUGCUGAAUCUGUCUACAUUUAAAGACUCAUGAUAUUACAUUGAGCCCACCUGGAUAAUCCAGGAUAACCUCCCUAUUUUAGAACAAUCUUCACUGCCUCUGCAAUUUUUUUUUUUUUUUUGCCAUGUAAUAUAACAUAGCCAUAGGGAUGACACCAAGGGGUGAAUGAGGGUUAUGGGGCUCAAAAUUCUGUCUACCACAUAUGAUGGAGCUCUUCAUUUUCCUCUCACAUUAUGAGAUUCUCUAUUAAGUGUUCAGUUUAAUUAUUCUUUUAGAUAUUAAAUUUUAAAGGUAAGACCAAAUUAACUUUUUAAUAUAAAUGAUAAAAGUUUACAAAUAUCCAACUAUCUGUUACCCAAAAAUUAAUCUUUCAGAGUAAAAAGAAUUUAGUUAUGGAAAUAAUAAAUUGAAAAGUUACCUUUCGCCAGUGUCUUUGUUUCUGGUUUUUCUUUUUUCUCAAUUUUUUCCUUGUGAGUUGCUUAAACAGAAAAUUUUACAUUAGUACACAUUUUUAAUAGAUUUCAAAACCAAGCUUUCUUUUGACCUCAGUUUCAUAAGUGCUAAAACCUAAUCUGUAAUAUUUUGAAAAUGUAUGACAUUAAUAAGUCUAAUUCAGAAAUAAAGAGUUACCAGUGUAAUAACAGUUGUAUUGAAUUCAAUGUUAAAGUCUAGGCAUUAAGACUUAGCAAGCUUGUUGAAAAUCAGAUCUACUCUUUCUCAAGUCAUUAUUUCAAACAGGUAAAGCUUUCAGGGAAGACAAACUGAAAGGGAAAAUUUUCUAUAAGAAUUUGUCAAAAAAUAUGUCAUUAUGUGUAUUUUUAAAUUUGAAUUAUAUUAAAUUGUGUUGUUUGGUAGUUUCCCAAAUCAUCAUACAUUUUUCAAUAUUUACAUACUAUUUUUUCAAGAAUAACAAUGGUAAUUAAACUACGAAAAUUAAGUAGUAAAAUAUGAGAUUUAAUUGGGCAGUUAACAAAGUGUAUGCACUGAUUUGUUAGAGGAAAAAAUUAGUUCCACAUAUUUCCAUUUCUCCUACUUCCAACAAGAAUAGUAAUAAUGUACAUCAGCUUUACUUACAUCAUUAAGAAAUGCUUAAAAUAUGUAUUUAAAAAUCCAUUAUUUUUAAAUACAGUUGAUAAACAGUGUCCUCCAGAAUCUUGGAGAGAUGAUUUAAGCCUCAGAAAGCCUAAUAUUCAGUUGAAGAGCAAGUGUCCCUAACACAUGCAGAGCUGCUGAGAGACCAGGUGCCUCCUCCUCCAGAGUUUCAGCCUCUCCACCACUCAGGCCUGCCCACAGGUACCUCCACUACCACUUGGGAUUAUGGGUAAUAGAUUAGACAAUGUUAACAAAAGGAGCAUUAUGCUAGGCUAAGCAAGGCACUAUUCAAACAAGGUCACAGGACUACAUUAUAAUAACAUAUCUCCUAAAAAGCAAACAUCCUUUAAUUGGCAUAAGGUAAAUAAAAGAGCACUUACAAUGCAGCAUUUUAUUUCUGCUUUUCAAUUUGAAUACAUUUUUUUCUGCAGCACUUAUAAUUUAAGGGCAAAAAUUCCUAACUUUUUUUUUAACAGAAA